GACGAACGCUGGCGGCGUGCUUAACACAUGCAAGUCGAACGGAAAGGCCCUGCUUGCAGGGUACUCGAGUGGCGAACGGGUGAGUAACACGUGGGUGAUCUGCCCUGCACUUCGGGAUAAGCCUGGGAAACUGGGUCUAAUACCGGAUAGGAGCCAUUUUUAGUGUGAUGGUUGGAAAGUUUUUUCGGUGUAGGAUGAGCUCGCGGCCUAUCAGCUUGUUGGUGGGGUAAUGGCCUACCAAGGCGGCGACGGGUAGCCGGCCUGAGAGGGUGGACGGCCACAUUGGGACUGAGAGACGGCCCAGACUCCUACGGGAGGCGGCAGUGGGGAAUAUUGCACAAUGGGCGCAAGCCGGAUGCAGCGACGCCGCGUGGGGGAUGACGGGCUUCGGGUUGGAAACUCCUUUCGCUAGGGACGAAGCUUUUUGUGACGGUACCUAGAUAAGAAGCACCGGCUAACUACGUG
rnacentral:rRNA from 1 species